rnacentral:lncRNA from 1 species
ACAGAGCAGAUCGGGGGACCACGGGAUGGGAAGGGUGGACAUGGCUCUGACAGCAACAAUGUAACACCCAUGCAACGAGUCUGCGAGGCCGAAUGGAAGCCAGCUGGCUGCAGGGGAGAGAGCAAGAGAGUCUGGCAGAAGGUGCACCUGGAGAAGGAAGUAGAGGCCAGGCCAGGAAACUACAGAGGCCCUUUGGUGCUCCCCAGCUCUCCUUGUUUUCCUGUUUCUAAGCAUCUGAGUGCAUCCUGAUAGCUGUGGACAGCAGAGAUUUGGAACAGGAGAUUGAAGAAGUCUCAUCUACUGCCAUGCUUGGCACAUAGUAGGCACUCAACACAUGCUAGACUCUCCCCACCUCCUGUUGCUUCUUGGCACCAGGCUUCACUCUGGACAAGAGUUAACAUCUCAUCCUUUACCCAUGUCUUCUUUGACUGAACAUCUCGCUAUUAGUGGGAGAUGGGUCAAAGAAGUAUUCACUCAUCCUUUCAUCCAACAAUACUGACAGAGCACCUGCCCUGUGCCAGGCUCAGCCAGAGGCUGGAGAUAAAGACAUGAAUGAGACCCCUGGUGACGGGUGAGAGACAAAGCAAAGGGCUCAUUUCCAUAGAGGAUGAUGGGGAUUCACAUAUGGGGUUGGGCAAGGCACACAAUAGAGCAGGGUGAUAUGGUUGGCUUUGUGUCCCCACCCAAAUCUCGUCUUGAAUUGUAGUUACCAUAAUCCCCAUGUGUCAUAGGAGGGACCUGGUGGGAGGUAAUUGAAUCAUGGAAAUGGUUUCCACCAUGCUGUUCUUGUGAUAGUGAGUGAGUUCUCAUGAGAGCUGAUGGUUUUAUAAGGGGCUUUUCCCCUCUUCACAUUGGACUACUCUCUCCUGCUGCCACGUGAAGAAGGCCAUGUUUGCUUCCCCUUCUGCCAUGACUAUAAGUUUCCUGAGGCCUCCCCAGCCAUGUGAAACUGUAAGUCAAUUAAAUCUUUUUUAAAUAAA